CACGCCGUAAACUAUGAGAGCUAGCCGUCGGCAAGUUUACUUGUCGGUGGCGCAGCUAACGCAUUAAGCUCUCCGCCUGGGGAGUACGGUCGCAAGAUUAAAACUCAAAGGAAUUGACGG
rnacentral:rRNA from 1 species